GGCGGGGUAGCUCAGUUGGUGAGAGCGCAGGAUUCAUAACCCUGAGGUCGACGGUUCAAGUCCGUCCCCCGCUACCA
rnacentral:tRNA from 1 species